AACGCGAAGAACCUUACCAAGGCUUGACAUGCACCGCGACACUGCAGAGAUGUGGUGGCCUUCGGGGUGGUGUGCAGGUGGUGCAUGGUUGUCGUCAGCUCGUGUCGUGAGAUGUUGGGUUAAGUCCCGCAACGAGCGCAACCCUUGCCCUAUGUUGCCAGCACGUUGUGGUGGGGACUCGUGGGGGACUGCCGGGGUUAACUCGGAGGAAGGUGGGGAUGACGUCAAAUCAUCAUGCCCCUUAUGUCUUGGGCUUCACGCAUGCUACAAUGGCAGGUACAGAGGGUUGCGAUGCCGUGAGGUGGAGCGAAUCCCUUAAAGCUUGUCUCAGUUCGGAUUGGGGUCUGCAACUCGACCCCAUGAAGGUGGAGUCGCUAGUAAUCGCAGAUCAGCAACGCUGCGGUGAAUACGUUCUCGGGUCUUGUACACACCG
rnacentral:rRNA from 1 species